UACGUAGGGUGCAAGCGUUGUCCGGAAUUAUUGGGCGUAAAGAGCUCGUAGGCGGUCUGUCGCGUCGGGAGUGAAAAGCUGGGGCUCAACCCCAGUCCUGCUUCCGAUACGGGUGGACUAGAGGUAUGCAGGGGAGAACGGAAUUCCUGGUGUAGCGGUGAAAUGCGCAGAUAUCAGGAGGAACACCGGUGGCGAAGGCGGUUCUCUGGGCAUUACCUGACGCUGAGGAGCGAAAGCGUGGGGAGCAAACAGG
rnacentral:rRNA from 1 species